CUUCAUCACAACACACAGACAUCCUCCUCCUCAUCACAAACAUGACUCUGAUCUGCAUCCUCAUCUGGACUCUCCUCUGCUGCUGCUUCACAGAGUCCAGAGGACAGGUCACAGUGACUCAGCCUGCAGCAGUGAGCUCUGCUCUGGGAGCCUCUGUCACCAUCUCAUGCAGGACCAGUCAGAAUGUUAAUUAUUACAGUGACUUCCCACACCACCAUUUGCACUGGUAUCAAAAGAAAGAUGGAGGAACUCUUAAACUUCUUGUUAAGUUUGCUAACCAUCGAUUUUCAGGGAUUCCAAGUCAUUUUUCAGGCAGUGGAUCCCACUCUGACUUCACUCUGACCAUCAGUGGAGUCCAGACUGAAGAUGCAGCAGUUUACUACUGUCAGAGUAUACAUGUUAUCAACAGUCAGAAUGUGUUCACACAGUGAAAAAGCGUGGUACAA